rnacentral:rRNA from 1 species
CGGAAGGAUCAUUACCGAGUUUUCGAGCUCCGGCUCGACUCUCCCACCCUUUGUGAACGUACCUCUGUUGCUUUGGCGGCUCCGGCCGCCAAAGGACCUUCAAACUCCAGUCAGUAAACGCAGACGUCUGAAUAAACAAGUUAAUAAACUAAAAACUUUCAACAACGGAUCUCUUGGUUCUGGCAUCGAUGAAGAACGCAGCGAAAUGCGAUAAGUAAUGUGAAUUGCAGAAUUCAGUGAAUCAUCGAAUCUUUGAACGCACAUUGCGCCCCUUGGUAUUCCGGGGGGCAUGCCUGUUCGAGCGUCAUUACAACCCUCAAGCUCUGCUUGGAAUUGGGCACCGUCCUCACUGCGGACGCGCCUCAAAGACCUCGGCGGUGGCUGUUCAGCCCUCAAGCGUAGUAGAAUACACCUCGCUUUGGAGCGGUUGGCGUCGCCCGCCGGACGAACCUUCUGAACUUUUCUCAAGGUUGACCUCGGAUCAGGUAGGGAUACCCGCUGAACUUAAGCAUAUCAAUAAGCGGAGGA